AAGCGGACGGAUGACCAGAUCCAGAGUUGGAAGUUACCUUUGGUGAAACCCUCUACCCAGCCUGAAUCCUUCCAGGUUGUAGGACACUCACUACCUCUCAAAGCAUGUCAUUUCUUCUUCAUUAGAAAAUUCUUCUUCAUGCCACCUUUAAGCUGAAAUAUGACUUCCCUGUAAUAUUUCCCCUUCCUCGGUGAUCAUAGCUCUGCCUUCCAGGCCCAGAAAGAACAGGUCAAAUUUCUACCUCAUCUGACCACCUUCAUGCAAUAAAAGACAGAGCUCUGUGCACUUGGAGAGUUAAAGCCUCACCCCAAAUGCAUCUUCCCGGCAGAGAGACAGUCCUUUUGCAGUUAAAUCACACUGAAAAUCCUCAAGAGGAAUAUCUGUUUCUGGUUCAUUCCAGAGAUGCACUAAAUGGCAAGAACAUGGAGGCAACACAUGGACCCGAUGGAGUCUCCUUGUGGGAGGGGACUCCCAUCUUUGAAGAACAAGAACUAUUUAUCUAGGAAUAGAGAAAUCUCUGAGUGAGACACCACCUGUCUUGAAGAUGAUUCUAUGGCAGAGGAAGCCUUGUUUUGGGUCUAAGUCCAUAGUAUAUACGUUACAGCAAAGCAGAUUUCAACUCAAUUAUUUAAAAAAGACUGUAGAACUGCAAGUGCAUAAAAACUCAUAGAAUAGUAGUAACUGUAGGAAUCAUUACUAUUAGGCCCCAGCUUGAACUUCAUUGCCCCUUUGAAUUCAGGAAAUAAAUAAGCACAUGUACACAUACGCACACCCCAUAUGUCACACCAGGCAUUGUGGCGCCAUCCAUGACUGACACUAAACAUUCUAGAAGUAUUUCUGUUUUCAUGCAGAUACACACAGCACAGCUAGUUUCAAAAUUAAACCACAAUGAAAACUGUCACUACUGACAAGGAACUAUGCAAAGACCUUCGGUCUCAGGCCCUUGCUCACUCAGGAGUACCUUGAGACCUGUUUCUUCCUGUUCAGCUGCAGUCACGGUUCUAACCUGGUUCUUCUCACGGCUGGUAUCCUCUGACCUUUUAUGUCUUGGCAAUGACUUCCAUGCAUUUUGGCAGUGACUGCCUGAAUCUCUGAUUCAACCCUGAUCGCAGCCUCUCGGGCUUUCUCGCUCCUUUAAUUCUUUCCGCGGAUGGCCACGGCUUUUGCCGCCUGUACCCUUCCUGGAGCAACCCGUGCUUUUGAAAAAUGACCAUGCCGAAGGGGAACUAACACUCCCAGCCUGGUGCGGGUCUUGUCAAUCUGAUUUUUAAAUGAUGGAGGAGGAGGUUUGAGGACAAAGCUCAUGGUGGCAUUACCACUAUCAGGGACGCUGCAAAGAUCAAGUGAAAAGGGGAAAAGGCUCUUCUCAAUGUGAGCACAUUCACAGGCUCUGAGAACAGAGAGGUAUUUAAAGUGAACUGGAACAAACCUGCAACAUCCGGUGCGUUCUGCCUUCAAAAAUAGCUGCCAGUUAGAAAGGGUUAUUUACAUAUUGAUUUCAUGCUAACUUUGUAAUGGAAUGUGCUGCCUGCCUGCCUGCCUGAGACCUAACAACUGUCAUCAUAAUUUUUUCUAAAAAUACAGUCAGAGAAAAACACUCAUUGAACCCUCCACUGGAAAGUAGCUGCAAAAGACCCCCUGAUCCCAAACCUGCUUGACAGACCACAGCCAAGGGCAGGGACACUCAACAACUGUAAACGAGGAACAUUUCACAGCGGCAGCUGGCCCCUCUCUUCUUCCAACCAGCCAAUAUUUUUUGUCUUUCUAGAAAACCUGUCUUGUUCAAAGGCCUGAUGGAGCUGAUUCGGUUGUGAUCCUGGGCAUAUGGAUGGCAUAUUUGCUGCGAGCUAG
rnacentral:lncRNA from 1 species